GAUGAACGCUAGCGACAGGCUUAACACAUGCAAGUCGAGGGGCAGCGAGGGAGUGCUUGCACUUUUGUCGGCGACCGGCGCACGGGUGAGUAACACGCAUGCAACCUGCCCUUGUCAGGGGGAUAAGCGAGGGAAACCUCGUCUAAUACCGCAUAUAUGGUUUUGAGGCAUCUCUUAAUCAGGAAAGAAUUAUCGGACAAGGAUGGGCAUGCGGGACAUUAGGUAGUUGGGGGUGUAACGGACCACCAAGCCGACGAUGUCUAGGGGUUCUGAGAGGAAGGUCCCCCACACUGGUACUGAGACACGGACCAGACUCCUACGGGAGGCAGCAGUGAGGAAUAUUGGUCAAUGGGCGAGAGCCUGACCAGCCAAGUCGCGUGAGGGAAGACGGUACUAAGUAUUGUAAACCUCUUUGUCAGGGAACAAGAGACCACGUGUGGUAAGAUGAGUGUACCUGAAGAAAAGCAUCGGCUAACUCCGUGCCAGCAGCCG
rnacentral:rRNA from 1 species